rnacentral:rRNA from 1 species
GUGCGUAGGUGGUCUGUCAAGUCCGAUGUGAAAGCCCUGGGCUCAACCUGGGAACUGCAUUUGUGACUGCAAGACUUGAGUAUCGGAGAGGUUGGCGGAAUUCCUAGUGUAGAGGUGAAAUUCGCAGAUAUUAGGAGGAACACCGAUGGCGUAAGCAGCCAACUGGACGAUUACUGACGCUGAGAUACGAAAGCGUGGGGAGCAAACAG